GUACACUCCUACGGGAGGCAGCAGUGGGGAAUAUUGGACAAUGGGCGCAAGCCUGAUCCAGCCAUGCCGCGUGAGUGAUGAAGGCCCUAGGGUUGUAAAGCUCUUUCACCGGUGAAGAUAAUGACGGUAACCGGAGAAGAAGCCCCGGCUAACUUCGUGCCAGCAGCCGCGGUAAUACGAAGGGGGCUAGCGUUGUUCGGAUUUACUGGGCGUAAAGCGCACGUAGGCGGACUAUUAAGUCAGGGGUGAAAUCCCGGGGCUCAACCCCGGAACUGCCUUUGAUACUGGUAGUCUUGAGUUCGAGAGAGGUGAGUGGAAUUCCGAGUGUAGAGGUGAAAUUCGUAGAUAUUCGGAGGAACACCAGUGGCGAAGGCGGCUCACUGGCUCGAUACUGACGCUGAGGUGCGAAAGCGUGGGGAGCAAACAGGAUUAGAUACCCGUGUAGUCCCAUG
rnacentral:rRNA from 1 species